rnacentral:tRNA from 1 species
CGGGGCGUAGCUCAGCCUGGUAGAUCAUCUGCUUUGGGAGCAGAGGGUCGUGGGUUCAAAUCCUGUCGCCCCGACCA